UACGUAGGUGGCAAGCGUUGUCCGGAUUUACUGGGCGUAAAGAGCGCGCAGGCGGUCGUCCAAGUCGCGUGUGAAAGCCCCCGGCUCAACUGGGGAGGGUCACGCGAUACUGGUCGACUCGAAGGCAGGAGAGGGUAGUGGAAUUCCCGGUGUAGUGGUGAAAUGCGUAGAUAUCGUAAGGAAGACCAGUGGCGAAGGCGGGUCUCUGGACAGUUCCUGACGCUGAGGCACGAAGGCCAGGGGAGCAAACGGG
rnacentral:rRNA from 1 species